AUACGGAGGAUCCGAGCGUUAUCCGGAUUUAUUGGGUUUAAAGGGUGCUCAGGCGGGGGAUUAAGUCGGCGGUGAAAUUUUGCGGCUCAACCGUAAAAGUGCCUUCGAAACUGGUUUCCUUGAGGGUGGAUGAGGUAGGCGGAAUUUGUGGUGUAGCGGUGAAAUGCUUAGAUAUCACGAGGAAUUCCGAUUGCGCAGGCGACUUACCAGGCCAUAACUGACGCUCAAGCACGAAGGCGUGGGGAUCAAACAGGAUUAGAUACCCUGGUAGUCCACGCAGUAAACGAUGAUUACUGGCUGUUUGCGAUACAAUGUAAGCGGCUGAGCGAAAGCGUUAAGUAAUCCACCUGGGGAGUCCGUUCGCAGGAAUGUAACUCAAAGGAAUUGGCGGGG
rnacentral:rRNA from 1 species